AACGCUCCUGCGACUCAGGGUCAAGCCUCCCAGCAAAGGAGAUGGACUCUGCUUUUCCCAACAACACGGCCGUGCCCGGGAAGAGGAGGUGCCCAGGGCUGUGUCCACGGAACCUGCCCAGGUCCUUCACUCCCAACAGAGCCUGGUGUCCAACGCCAGGCAGUUCACGUGUUGGGAAAGCCAAGGCCAUACCAAGAGACCAUGAAUUUGAGGCUCCCCAGAGUGGCUGUGGCCAAGGCUGCAGAGCUAAGGAGCAGUGGAGAGGGCUAAAAGCCCACCAGGCUCCUCUGUCCAUGGGAUUCUCCAGGCAAGAAGGCUGGAGGGGUCGUCAUUUCCUUCUCCAGGGAUCGUCCCGAUCCAGGGAUGGAGCCCGUGUCUCCUGUGUCUCGCGUCGACAGGCGGGUUCUUCACCACCAGCCCACACCUGCAGUUUCUAAAAUGCAUCGCCCACACACCUGGGCCAGCUCUCCUGGGGAGCUGCUGGUUCUCCUCAUGCUUACAAGGUGGAGAAAGAGCCAGCCAUCCUGCGGGCCGGUGGAGCAUCCCUCUGCUUCCUGUCCCCGCCAGCCUCAGCCUGGCCACCUCCUCAGGCGGGUUUGUUGAGUAACGUUGAGAGAGUCCGUCCCCUCUGCUUCGUUUCCAAACCAAACGCAGGUGGCAUCUGACCCAUCCCCCCUGGUUUGUCUGGGAGAUGGGCAGUUGAGCGCAGACCUCGGGAGGAGAGAGAACACCCCUGAAGUAAGCACAUGCACUUCUGCCGCUCAGGAUGCGGAGACCCAAAGGACUCCACCAAGACCCGGAGCCUGGUGGAGAGAGCAGACCAGCUCCACACCAGCCGGGCCCCCUGGCGGUGUGAUUACCUGUCCUGCAAACACCCGGAAGCCGAGCACCACCUCCUGGGGGCCCGGGGGGCAUGCCCUGUGCGCAUCC
ensembl:lncRNA